UCCCUUGUAGCUCAGUCGGUAAAGAAUCUGCCUGCAGUGUAGGAGACCCGGGUUCGAUCCCUGGGUUGGGAA
rnacentral:tRNA from 1 species